UACGAAGGGGGCUAGCGUUGCUCGGAAUCACUGGGCGUAAAGCGCACGUAGGCGGCUUUUUAAGUCAGGGGUGAAAUCCUGGAGCUCAACUCCAGAACUGCCUUUGAUACUGGAAAGCUUGAGUCCGGAAGAGGUGAGUGGAACUGCGAGUGUAGAGGUGAAAUUCGUAGAUAUUCGCAAGAACACCAGUGGCGAAGGCGGCUCACUGGCUCGAUACUGACGCUGAGGUGCGAAAGCGUGGGGAGCAAACAGG
rnacentral:rRNA from 1 species